GAUGAUGAAGAUGUUGGCAUCGAGUAUACGGUGUAUGAUCCCAACGUUGACUAGAAAGAGAUGAGGCCCUGAUGGAGUAUUGAUGGAACGGUAGAUGAUGGAGACAAACAAUACAGUCCAUGGACGAUACUAGCUUAAUUUUGAAAAAAAAUGACAAAUUGAGGGUUAUAGCUAAGUGUGGUGGUGGAAGGAGUGACAAUAAAAAAAAAUGCAGUGUCCAUUUAAGGUUGCAGUUCGAUGGAAAUACAAUGAAAGGACAUUCCAGAUUAAAUUAUGUAAUGAAAUUCAUCAGUGUGCUAGAAAUUGUCAAUUUGGUUGCCUACUUCAACAUAUCAUCGGGUUGUAGCUAUUAACCACAGGUGCGGGUGUUAACCUAUAUAGACCAAUACAUAUCUUUCCUAUCAUGUCAACUAGUUAUGAUCUUAUCUACCAUAGUGAUUUAGAAUAACAACUAGGUAUAAUAUUAGAUAAAGAGUUUAGGCAAAGUAGCUAUCGGGCAUAAUAUCAUCCUAAAGUUAUGAGCAUAAUUAUCCAGCUACAAUUAGUAAUAACUAUGUAAAGUUGCAUUCUAUACAUGUAUCCCCCCCCCCCCUCGAAAAGGUUUGGAAAAUGGGGCCGUGAAAUCAACUCUGAGUUAUGAAAACAUUGUGGUAGGGUAUAAAUCACAACUUCGCACUUCUCGAGAUGCUCGGGUGGUAGCACGCAGAACAAUAUAGAGAGAAAACAUAAGAGAGGGAUGAGGAAAUGAGUUGCCAAAACUUGUUAUUGAUAGCAAGUUUUGGAGUGUGCGUCGUGAAAGUGUGUGUGAACCGUAUGAUGCUACCAUAUGUCCUCAUAUCAGCGUGUCACGUCCUCGUAUAUCUCCACGUAUUGGGUGUUAGUAUAUGCAGCGCACUACGCACCAGCGCGUGCGACAGUAAAAAUGAACUUUUGAAAUUCCCUAACUCUCACAUAUGAACUUCGUCCUUAACGAAUCUUAUAUAUCCGUGUAUGUCUCGUCAUUCUCUACAACUUUCCUUUUGGUUGUUUUGUCUAGUUUUGACUUUCAUUUUUCGACGUGUUUUUAUUACCGUUAUAAUUUUAUAAAAAUCAUAACUCCUUCAUAUGACGUUCGUUUUAGGCGUCUCUUGCCUCAUAAUUCCUACUUUUUUAAUAUUAUGAUUGCCUAGUCGGUGACUUUUUCCAAAAUUUGACCAAUCUCCUUGUAGUUUUUGCCGUCGAUACUUUUUUAAGUAUGGUAGAUAUUUAUUUACCAUAAAUACCAUAUCUCACCCAUACCGUGUCAGAUUCGUACAAAAAUUAUAUUUCUAGAAUCAAGGUAACCUAUACAGUCUAAAUAUGUUAACAUGUUCCCAAAGUGACACGACUUUUUGCACACUUAUUUUUUAGCCUAAUGUUUGAUGUAAUUAGGGAUGGAAAAUUCAAAUAUAUUAAAACAUAUUGUGUGAUUACAAGAAUGUCCUUUUCACAUUUUUAUGUCAUAUCGUUAAAUAUAACUGCGGUUGGUGACGUAAUCUCUGGGUAGUCACAUCCUCCCCCCAUUAAAAGAAAUUUUGUCUUUAGAUUUAGCAUGUAGCUAGGAUGUUUUUAAAUAAAUGGGGAUACUCAUUCCUCAUUUAAUCUUCGUGUUCCCAUGUGUAUUUCGUUCCUUGCUUAGAGUUCCAUCGUACCUUGACUAUGGGAAUGCCUCUUUGCAUAAGUCUCUUGACUUUGUGAUGCAUGAUCUCAGUUGGUUCAACGAUAAAGUUGAGUUUUGUGUCAAUCUAGAUUUCAUCGAGAAGCAUAAUUGGCGUGUCUUCAAAGAGACAUUUCUUAAGGUUUGAAACAUGGAAGACGUUGUGUAUGCUGUUGAGCUCUUGGGAAGAGCAAGAUGGUAGGCUAUUGGGCCUAUUUUGGCAAGGAUCUUAAAAGGUCCUAUUUAUCAUUGAUUGAGUUUACAACUCUUUCCAAAUCUUAUAACUCCUUUCUAAGGAGAUACUCUUAUCAUGACUCUAUCUGCAACUUGGAAUUCAAGUGGUUUUUGUCGAAAGUUGCCGUAUUUCUUUUAACGAUCAUGAUCCAUCCUCAAUCGCUCCUUAAUUCUCACGAUCUUCCCGGUUGUUUCGUGAAUGAUCUCAGGUUCAGUUAGCAAAGUGUUCCCAACAUGUUUCUUUUCUAGUUGGGUAUCACCAACUUCUGCCCAGCACAACGGUCAACAAAACUUUCUACCAUAAAGUGCUUCAUAUGGUGCAGCGUUUAUACUUGUGUGAUAACUACUAUUAUAGGAGAACUCAACCAAUGGUAGGUAAGCAUCCCAUGCAUCUCCAAAGUCUAUCCCACAUGCUUUGAGCAUAUCUUCCAUGGUUUGUGUGGUCCUCUCCCUUUGACCAUCUGUCUGCAGAUGGUAAGAGGUACUCAUAUCGAGUCAGGUUCCUAGUUCCCAUUAAAUUGUUUCCAGAACUUGGACAUAAAUCGGUGGUCUCUCUGUGAGAUGACCAAUGUUGGUACACAGUGUAGCCGGACUAUCUCCUUGACAUAAUUUCUAGACAACUUUUUCAUUUUGUCCAUUUUUUAAUGGGUUGGAAAUAGGUUGACUUCGUCAAAUGAUCGAUUACUAACCAAAUCGUGCCAUAGCUUCUAGCUGUUUUGUGUAGUUUUGUGAUGAAGUCCAUGGCAACUUGCUCUCAUAUACAUUCGGGUAUUGUGGGUUAUUGCAGCAAACCCGAAAAUUUUUGGUAUUCUGCCUUAACCUUAGCGUAAGUCAAUCAUUUUCUCAUGAAGGUGGCGAUUUAUGCCUUCAAGAUCGGCCACCAAUACCUUUUUUAAGUCAAGAUACAUCUUAUCAUAUCCUGGGUGAACUAAUUAUCUUGUCUUGUGAGCUUCGUCCAGUACCUAACUUCUGAUGUUGCCAAAUUUUCGUACCCAAAUUCGGUCCAUGAAACACGAGGUUCCAUUAUCUUUGGACUCGAAUUGCUUUUCCAUACCGCGUAAGCAUUCUUUCGCCUUGUUUUCUUCCUUAAGUGCCUUUACUUGGGCUUCUCGAAUUUGGAUAGGAAGGUUUAACUGGAUAGUUAGAGUGAGAGCCUUCACUCUGUGAGGUUUGACUCGUUCCUUUCUACUUAGGUCAUCUGCUACUACGUUAGCUUUUCUUGGGUGGUAUCGAAUCUCACACUCGUAGUUGUUCAGCAGCUUAACCCAUCUUUAUUAUCUCAUGUUAAGUUCCUUUUGUUUGAAGAUGUGUUGAAGACUUUUAUGUUCUGUGUAUAUGACAUACUUUGUGCCAUACAAGUAGUGUCACCAGAUCUUCAAGGUGAAAAUUAAAGCUCCCAAUUCCAAUUCAUGGUUGGUGUAAUUAUUCUCGUGAGUUUUGAGUUGGUGAAAAUCUUAAGCGAUCACUUUGUCUCUUUGCAUAAGUACGCAUCCCAUGCCCUGAUGUGAUGCGUUGCAAUUGACAAUGAAGUCUUCAGUUCCUUCUGAAAGUGAAAGAAUCGGUGCACCCCACAGAAUGUGUUUCAAUCUCUAAAACUCAUAUUCUUUCCACUAAAACUUCAAAUCUUCAUGUAUGAGUAUCAACAGGGGUUUUGCUAUCUUUGAGAAAUUUUCAAUAAAUCUAAUGUAAUAGCCUGAGAAUUCUAGAAAUUUACGCACCUCCGUUGGCGUCGUGGGUGCUUCCUAAUUCUUUAUGGAUUUAAUCUUGGAAGGAUCUACGUGAAUACCCUUGUCACUAACCAUGUGUCCUAGAAAGUGUACUUCCCUAAGCCAAAAUUCACACUUCAGGAACUUUUCGUACAAUUUCUCUUUUGUCAACAACCAAAAUGAUUCGAAGAUGUUGCUCGUGUUCCUCCUCUAUUCAUGUGUAUAUUAAUAUUUCAUCAUUAAAUACGAUCAUAAUUUGCAAAGGUAUGGCUUACAAACACAGUUUGUGCAAUCCAUGAAGACUGAUUAAGCAUUAGUGAAGCCAAAAGGCAUAACUAGGAACUCGUAGUGGCCUUAUCGAGUUCUAAAUGCCAUCUUCGGAAUGUCCUCCUCUAGAACUCGAAGUUGAUGGUACCCUAACCUUAAAUCAAUCAUUGAUUAAAUUUUGGAUCCUUGGAGUUAAUCGAACAAAUCGUUAAUCCUUGGGAGUGGAUAUGUGUUCUUGAUCAUCAACUUAUUUAGUUCUUGGUAAUUGAUGCACAUUCUGAAGAUUCCAUCCUUCUUAUUAAGGAAUAGCACCAUGGUUCCCUAGGGUGAGACACUUGGUGUUAUAAAGCCUUUAUCUAGAAGCUCCUGAAGCUGACUGGACAACUCUUGUAUUUUCGAAGGACAACUCUUGUAUUUCCGAAGGGACUAAUCAGUAGGGAGAUUUUGCCACUGUAGAUGGCCCUAGGACUAGGUCAAUUCAAAAUUCAACUUCAGGAAUUGGCGGUAGUAUGGGCAAGUCCUCCGUAAAUACCUCGGGAAAACAUCACAUAUUUGGGGUAUGUCCUUAAUUUCCUUCUUCUUUCCCUUCUUGUAUGCGAUGUGCACCAAGAAAGUGUCAUACUUCUUCUAAAGGUAUUAAUGUGCCUUCAUGCAGGAGAUGAUUUUGAGGCUUUUGUUGGUCUUAUCUUCGUAUAUUACCUAUGAUUCCCCAUUGGGUAAUAGUAGUUGUACUUCCUUGUCGUAGUAUAAGAUCUCAUCUUUGUGUGCAGAUAACCAAUCCAUACCAACGAUGACAUUGAAGCUACCGAUGGUCAUGGUCAUGUGCUUGACGUGAAAAGUAAGGUUAUUGAGAGUUAGGAGGCAGUUUUCUAGUAUUUCCUGACCACUACCGGAUUCACCAUUGGCCAUUUCUAUUAUAUAAGGCUCAUCUAAGUUCCUAGACUUAUAGAUUAAAAGUUUUCUAAACAUAGGUCUAAUACAAAUUCUUUCAGCACCAGAAUCAAAGAGUACAUAUGUGUAUAAAUCGUGAACAGGAAAAGUACUUGUCACAACGGUAAGGUCCUGAAUGGCAUCCUUUGCACCAAUCACAAACGUGCUUCCCUUUGCGUUUCUUCCCUCAUUCCUCAACUUUUGGUCAGUUCCUUCUGAGGUAACCAACAAUCCUUUACUCAAAGUAGGCUCGAUUAUCUAGCAAGACAACCAUGACUGGGUUGGUUGCGGUGGUAGGAAUAGUCGCAGGUUGUCGGUACUAUUUCCAGGAUGUCCUCUGUGAUUGCACCAGGUACAAUGCAUGUAGUUACCAGAGUGGUGGAAGUGACAUGAGUUGCACUUGGGAUGUGAGAACUACAGUUAGUGCAGGGCCGCAUUGAUGGCAUAUGCUUUGACAGUUUUCUUUCUUUUGUUGGGAACUUGCUUGGAGUCACCCUUAAAUCUGCUUUUCGAUUUGCGUUUGUUUUCCCUUGUCCUCGGGAUGUCGGUUUUAUGGACCAACAUGUUGUUGGAACAGUGUCUAAGGCUGCAACUAUAUUAGCCAAGUAUUUGACCCGAUUGUGCAUGGUCCUUUUGGGUUGCCUUCACCAUAGCAACUUGAUAGGAUGAUUUAUUAAGAGAGAAUAAAUAUUAUUAAUAUAUUAUGAGAAUAAUAUAAAGAAUAAUAAUAUUGUUAUUUGAUUAAUAUAAUUCAUAAAUUAAUUGGUAUUAAUUUGGUGACUUAAAGAGAUUAAUUAAAUAAGAGGGUAUAAACUGUCAAUUGUUUGAUAGUUAAACUUUAGACUGUAAAUCCUUAUUGGAUAGAGAAUGGACGAAUUCUAGAAGCUAGGGAUAGCUUAAAAUCAUCCAAGGUUAUCUAAGGAAAGGAUAUGGAUUGCUUUAAGAGAAUAUUAUCCAACUAGGGUUUAAGUUGUAACCCUUAAGGGGUCUACAAGUAUAAAUAGACCCUAUGGCAAAGGGAAAUAAGCACCUCAUUGAAAGUAGAGAAUCCCUGGCCGAAUUUCCUCCCCUUUCCUCUCUCUCAAAUCAUCCUCCUUGCUAUUUGGUGUUUGUAAGCCAUUAGAGGAGUGACAUUUGUGACUCUAGAAGCUCCAAGACCUCAAGAUCAACAAGGAACUCAAAGGUAUGAUUCUAGAUCUGUUUUAAUGUUCUUGUUUAACCUAAUUAGUAAUUAGAAGUCUUGGAUUCAAAGCAUGUUUAUUAGAAAGCCUAGAUCCAAGCAUUAGGGUUUUGCAUGCGCACAUAGGAAAGUUCUUAUGGCUAAAACCCAUCAGUGGUAUCAGAGCCUAGCUUGGUUUUCUGUAAAUUGUUGCUUGAUUAACUGAAACAAACCUGCAAAAUUCGAAUUUUUGGUUUCUGAGUCAUGGACUCGGCGAGUCUCAAAGUGGACUCGGCGAGUAGGCCUGACUCGGCGAGUCCAUUUGUGCACUCGGCGAGUCCAGGCGUCAGGAAUGGCCAGAUUCGGGAUUUCUUUGUGUUUAUCUUAUCUUAACUUACCAUAAACUAAUUAGAUCAACAUUAAUUCGUUUUUCUGAUAAAUAUAACUAUUAUCUUGAUCUAGUUAAAGGUAAUUAUCAACUAAUUAAAUAUUUAAUUUCCUUAUAUGAUAAUUAAUUAAUUAUUUUGAUUAUUUUGGUAAUUAUCUUUAAAAGAAAUCUUGAAUAAAUCAAAUAUAGAUAAUUAGGAUAUUAAUUGUUAAUUGGAAUUAUUUGUUAUUUGAUCCUCCAUGUUUUAAAUGUUUAAAACCUACCCUCAUGUUUUGAAAUUUACUUUUGUGAUUAAAAGUUUUAAUUUAGACAACUUAAAUUUCAAACCCUAGAUUUUAAAAGUUUUAAAAUACAACCCUAUACUAAUAUGAUAUUACUAGAAUAAUAUAUAUAUGUAUAACUAAAUGCUAGUCUUACCGUUAGUAGGCCUCAUUCACGAAGCCGAUCUAUAAGGUGGGUAUAAGGUUGCGGCCUAUAAAAUGGCGCUUAAUGGGUGUACACUCACACCCACCGCUUGCUUGAUUGGUGGAGGGUCGUUAGCCGAACGGGUAGGAUAGGGCAACCUCAUCCUCUCAUUAAAAGUAUAAUAAGAAAUAUAAAGUAACUACACAUUUUUUUAAAAUUUCCCAAUCCUAGUUACUUUAGGAAAAGUGAAUUGAUGCAAUCCCAUGAAAUUACACUUUGCACCUUGCUAAGAUGUUAGUGGAGCGUGUGUGGUUUACCGGCACACUAAUUGGUUCUAAGCGAAGGUGGCAAAGGGUGAUUCAUUGUUUAUCAUAGUUCGAUGGAGCGUGUGUGGUUUACCGGCACAUCGAAUAGGUGAUUGUUACAAUGAAGGCACCAUGUGAAUUUGCAUGGUAAUUCACACCCGCUUUGUGAUCCUCGGCAUCCCAGUCACAAACAAGAGGGGCAUAUCGAGAUUUAAACAUGCCAUUGAAUAGUUUCAAUGAAUCUCAUCCGAACCUAGGAAUUCUCAAAAACACUUAGGACUAAUAGUUUAAGUUUUGUGAUGGAGAAUUAGUGAAUCGUCAUUCACUUACCUUCAAUUUAUUUGCAUGUUAGAUUACGGCAUCCCUUUUCUAGUAUGUAAAUGUUAUUGUUGGAUCCUAGCCCUAAUUUUCUUAUUGGGUGAUAAUUAGGGAUUCUUAUUCUAAUCUAUCUUUGUCCUUUUCUAAUUGUAGAUGUCGAACGCAAACAACGCUGCUGCUAGUUCUUUCACGUUGAUGAGCCUUUGCCAAAAGGUCACCUUCGAUGGAACGAACUUUAGCGAAUGGAUAAGAUACAUUCGCACCAUUGCUCGCUAUGAGGAUAAGGAGUAUGUCCUCGAUGAGAAGCUCGAGAAAAUCAACCCCGAAAUUGCUACUCCCGCCGAAAUCACCGCCUUUGAAACUCAUGAGCGAGAUGCAACGAAGGUACAUUGCAUCAUGAUCGCCACCAUGAACUCCGAAUUCCAAAAGUCCUACGAGGACAUGUACCCGUACGAGAUGCAUCAAGACUUAUUGGAGAGGUACCACCAAAACGCGAGACAAGAGAGGUACGAGAUUUUCACUAACAUGAUUUCCGCGAAGAUGGGUCAUGGAGAAUCUCUUACCGUGCACUUGCAAAAGAUGCAAAGGUAUGUUGACCGCCUCCGCAAGUUAAAUGUUGACUUCGGUGAAGACUUGGCGAUCGACAUGGUGCUUCACUCUUUGCCUCCGAUGUACAACCAAUUUAGGAUGACCUACCACAUGAACAAAGAAGAGGUCACCCUAAGCAAGCUCCAAGGUCUCUUGAGGGUUGCUGAGAGCAACUUCAAGGACAAGUCUGUUGCACCUACUCCCAAUCCGCCCGCUGCUCCUGUCUUGGCUAUUGGACAAGGGAAGGGAAAGAAGAGGAAAGCUUCAUCGAAGAACUAUCGCAAGGUGAAAGCCCGAGAUGGUGCCUCUUCUAGUGGGACCAAAGUUGAUCCCGCCAAGCCCUGCUCUAACCCGAAGGAGGCAGAGUGCCACCACUGCCACAAGAUAGGACAUUGGAAGAGAAGCUGCCCGGAUUACCUGCAAGCAAUCAAAGAAGGAAAGAUCAAGCCAUCUUUCGCAGGUAUAUAUACAAUCAAAUCUAACGAUUCUAAUCAUGCUAUUUCUUGGGUUCUUGAUACCGGUUGUGGUUAUCACAUUUGUUCUAAUGUGCAGGGACUAAGAAGAAGUAGGGAUGUGGAGCAAGGAAGGAUCAAUCUAAUCAUGGGGAACAGAAGAUCGUCGCCUGUGACCAAGAUUGGAGUGUAUUCUUUAGUGCUUAGGAAUAGUUUGGUUUUAGAUUUGAACAAUUGUUGCUAUUCGCCAGAAAUGGCUAGAAACAUCAUUUCAUUUCAUGGUUUAUAUAGACAAGGAUUUAGAUUUUCUUUUAAUAAUGAGAAUGGUUCUAUUUUGGCUUAUCUAAAUGGUGUCUUUUACUUUGAAGCUAUACCAUGUAAUGGAAUAUAUGAAACCGUUAUGAUUGUUGAUAACUUAGGAAAUGAUGUUUUGAAUAUUGAUUCUUCCACUAGUAUGGAUAAAGCAUCCUUGUGGCAUUGUCGUCUUGGACAUGUCAACAAGAAACGCAUAGCCCAACUCCAAAAGGAUGGAGUGUUGGAGUCAUUCGACCUUAGGGAAGAUGACACAUGCGAGUCUUGUUUGCUUGGAAAGAUGACUAAGUCACCCUUCACGAGUACAUGUGAAAGGGGCGAGGGUCUAUUGGACCUAAUACAUACCGAUGUAUGUGGACCGUUUAGAUCAACCACGAAGGAUGGGAACCGCUUCUAUGUGACUUUUACCGAUGACUAUAGUAGAUAUGGGUAUAUCUACUUAAUCAAGCAAAAGUCAGAAACCUUUGAAAAGUUCAAAGAGUUCAAGAAUGAAGUGGAGAAUCAAUUGGGCAGGAAAAUCAAGAUGCUUCGAUCCGAUCGAGGAGGAGAGUACCUAAGUCUUGAAUUCCACGAUUAUCUCAAGGAGUGUGGAAUAGUUUCGCAAUUGACGCCUCCUAGGACACCGCAGUUGAAUGGUGUGGCAGAAAGGCGUAAUCGAACCUUAUUGGAUAUGGUUCGCUCUAUGAUGAGUCGUGCUUCACUACCUAUCUCUUUUUGGGGGUAUGCCUUAGAGACUGCCGCCCAUAUCCUUAACCGAGUCCCUACUAAGAAGGUUGCCAAAACACCUCACGAGAUGUGGACAGGGAAAGCUCCCUCGUUGGCACAUAUCAAGGUUUGGGGUUGCGAGGCUUUCGUAAGACGAGAUACUCACGACAAGCUUGAACCUCGAAGUGAGCGAUGUAUUUUCAUCGGCUACCCGCAGACAUCCUUUGGAUAUCUCUUCUAUAGACCGAAGGACAAUGUUGUCUUCGUUGCGAGGAGAGGAGUUUUCCGAGAGCGAGAACUCAUAAGCCAAGGAGACAGUGGGAGGCAAAUCGAGCUUGAAGAGAUUCAAGAGUCGAUAGAUGAAGGAACCUCUACCGCUGGCACUCAACCCGAGGAGGAAACUCCGGUUGAACCGAUUGACGAAUCCUUACCUCUUAGACGUUCCGAUAGAGUUAGAGUUCAGCCCCAGUUUUAUGGUUUUCAUAUUACUACCGAAGGGGACACGUAUAUUAGUGAUGGUACACUAAUAAAUCUUGAUGAAUCGGUGUGUAGAUUGUCUAAAUGGUAUUAUCCGGAGUCUGUAAAGUGGAAAGAGGCAAUGGAUAGCGAGAUCCAAUCCAUGUAUGAUAACCAAGUUUGGAAUUUGGUUGAUUACGUGCCCGGACGUAAGACCGUUGGGUGCAAAUGGAUCUUCAAGAAGAAGACCGACGUGGAUGGNNNNNNNNNNNNNNNNNNNNNNNNNNNNNNNNNNNNNNNNNNNNNNNNNNNNNNNNNNNNNNNNNNNNNNNNNNNNNNNNNNNNNNNNNNNNNNNNNNNNNNNNNNNNNNNNNNNNNNNNNNNNNNNNNNNNNNNNNNNNNNNNNNNNNNNNNNNNNNNNNNNNNNNNNNNNNNNNNNNNNNNNNNNNNNNNNNNNNNNNNNNNNNNNNNNNNNNNNNNNNNNNNNNNNNNNNNNNNNNNNNNNNNNNNNNNNNNNNNNNNNNNNNNNNNNNNNNNNNNNNNNNNNNNNNNNNNNNNNNNNNNNNNNNNNNNNNNNNNNNNNNNNNNNNNNNNNNNNNNNNNNNNNNNNNNNNNNNNNNNNNNNNNNNNNNNNNNNNNNNNNNNNNNNNNNNNNNNNNNNNNNNNNNNNNNNNNNNNNNNNNNNNNNNNNNNNNNNNNNNNNNNNNNNNNNNNNNNNNNNNNNNNNNNNNNNNNNNNNNNNNNNNNNNNNNNNNNNNNNNNNNNNNNNNNNNNNNNNNNNNNNNNNNNNNNNNNNNNNNNNNNNNNNNNNNNNNNNNNNNNNNNNNNNNNNNNNNNNNNNNNNNNNNNNNNNNNNNNNNNNNNNNNNNNNNNNNNNNNNNNNNNNNNNNNNNNNNNNNNNNNNNNNNNNNNNNNNNNNNNNNNNNCAACUAUAUUAGGCAAGUAUUUGACCCGGUUGUGCAUGGUCCUUUUGGGUUGCCUUCACCAUAGCAACUUGAUAGGAUGAUUUAUUAAGAGAGAAUAAAUAUUAUUAAUAUAUUAUGAGAAUAAUAUAAAGAAUAAUAAUAUUGUUAUUUGAUUAAUAUAAGUCAUAAAUUAAUUGGUAUUAAUUUGGUGACUUAAAGAGAUUAAUUAAAUAAGAGGGUAUAAACUGUCAAUUGUUUGAUAGUUAAACUUUAGACUGUAAAUCCUUAUUGGAUAGAGGAUGGACGAAUUCUAGAAGCUAGGGAUAGCUUAAAAUCGUCCAAGGUUAUCUAAGGAAAGGAUAUGGAUUGCUUUAAGAGAAGAUUAUCCAACUAGGGUUUAAGUUGUAACCCUUAAGGAGUCUACAAGUAUAAAUAGACCCUAUGGCAAAGGGAAAUCGGCAUCUCAUCUCAAGUAGAGAAUCCCUGGCCGAAUUUCCUCCCCUCUCCUCUCUCUCAAAUCAUCCUCCUUGCUAUUUGGUGUUUGUAAGCCAUUAGAGGAGUGACAAUUGUGACUCUAGAGCUCCAAGACAACAAGAUCAAACAAGAGAUUCAAAGGUAAACUUCUAGAUCUUAUUUUGUAUUGUUCUUAUACCUAAUUAGUCAUUAGAAGUCUUGGAUUCAAAGCAUGUUUAAUUAGAAAGCCUAGAUCCAAGCAUUAGGGUUUUACAUGCGCACAUAGGAAAGUUCUUAUGGCUAAAACCCAUCACAUGUCUCAUCUUAUUUGCCGUUUGGUCAGGAUAUAAGCCAAUCUUUUCGCACUAUCAUAUGUCGAUGGUCAUGAAGCGAUGGCCAACCCUUGAAUGGGCUGAACCAAUCCCUAUAUGUACCUUUAAAAUUUCUUGUACUUAUGUCUCACAAUGUUUGGGUAAAAGUUAGUGAAGUCAUUGAACCGGUUGGUGUAAUUCGAGAUGUCGAUGUCACUCAUGGUCAAGUUCCACAUCUCUUGCUCCAGUUCUUACAUCUCCUAUCGAGGAUAGUAUUCCUCGAUAAGCAUCUGUUUCAGUUCAUCAUGAGUUAAGGCAUUAGCACUUGUGAGACUCAUGGGCUUGACAUGGCCAUUCCACCAACACAUAGUCGUGUCUGCAAAAGUCAAACCGAUGAACUUAACCUUGCUUCCCUCGACGCAAGAAUGGAUCUCAAAGACAGACUAUGUCUUCUCAAUCCACCUAGUAAGGCCUCCAACUACCAUGUUCCCAUAAAACGUCCUAGGUUUGUAGUACAUAAAGUAUUUGUAGGUGCACACACUUUAUGCACCUUUCUCGUUUACUUGGGAGCCUUCACUUCCAGUUCUCGAGUUUGUGUGACGAUCAUUCCCGAAUGCUGCUAGUUCCUCGGUUAUUCUUUGCUCGACCUUUUCCUAAAUAGCCACGUGAUCUAGAGGUGGGUUAAUUUGUGCAGACUGAGCAUCCUGUACAGCUUGGAGUCCUUUGCUAGAUCUGGUAAUUCUUGGGGGUGCAAUUUCUAGAUUCCUAAAGUUAACGUCGAUAUGUGACUUAAUUAGUUGGAAUUAGUAAGUUUGUACUUUCAUGGUUAGGUCGUGGUGUAUUAGUGUUGGUGAUGGAAACAACCAUAGCAACACAGAUUCCAUGAAAACAUAUAAGAAUGCCAUGCAUCAUAUAUUAUACAAAAACUAUCAAAACAUAAGGGCGGUUUUAGGAUAGGAAAAUCUUUAGGGUUACAAAACAUGUGUGUGUGAGCCUUUCCCCGUAUUCCAACCCAAAAAUAAAAGUAUCAGUAUCCCUCCUAGCCAUCAUACUAGGACAAAAAAAAGAAAACUAGAAUCCACAAUAUACUAUCAAGAGAGCCAUCAGCUCGACUAACUGUCUAUAUACAAACUCUAAACAAACAUCAAAAGGAGAAACAUGUGACUUCAUCCUCUCCACCUAAAGCUCUGAUCAGUCCAUGUGGCAGACAACCUCCUCUACCCCUGAAGACGGAACUAGGCUUCAUCUCGUGCCUCCUGCAGCUAAUCAUGGACUAGUAAGGUCUGCAUUUCCAUUACGUCCAUCUCCUCCUCCAAAUAUUAUAGCCUCUUUGUGAGCUUCAUCAGGGUCAUACUCAAUAUGAACAUCUUAGAUUCCAUUGCUUCAAGGCGGUCUAAGUGACGGGCGGUACGAGGCACCAAAAGAGAAAUAGCCUACUUAAUAGGAUUAUUUGAGGUAGGACGAGGUGUGGUAGAUGAUUACCCACCUUGAAUCGUGAGCAAAUAUCCUCUUCCUCCCUCCAGGCUUGUAUUUGCGGUAUCCAAGUGGCAUCUCAAUCGGGUUUCUUUGUAGGUGGUAGUGAUGUUGGAGGGGACUCCACUCUCUUCCGAUAGGGAGCGACAACCGUCUUCCUCAGGGUUUGCUCCACCCAAUUACCCGUGUACUUCCUGUAAGAUCUAUGUGAAGGAGUGGGAGGAGGUGGUGAGAUCUCUUGUGAGGUAUCAGUGUCCUCCUUUUCCUUAUCGGGCUCGUACUCAGAACUGAGAAGAUAUAUCCUUGCCGGUGUAUAGUUUGGUGAAAGAGUUGGCUUUGAUAGGUGCCCAGUCAAAGUAUAAUUGGGCUCUGUGUCAUCACCGUCCUCCAGGUAUCGACAGGGUCGAAGUUAACAAGUACAUCACAUUCCUCCUCUGAUGAGGAAGCUACCCUCCACAAUCCAUCUCCUGCCAUGCUCUCGACAAAUCCGCAUAAGAUAUCAAACAGGAAAGAUGUAUAUAAUAUAUGUAAAGAUCAAUUAAAUACUAUAUAAUAUCCAGUUAUAAAAGAUAAAAGUUGUAACUCCCGAGUCCCCCUACUAUGUCGUAAGUUAGUGGUUCCUAGGGCAAGAAAUCCUCGAGAGUCGAUGUUAUUGAGUCAAAAAUCUCCAAAUGUAAAAGUCUCUAAAACAAAUCCAUGAGUAGUCAAGAAGUAGGGUAAUUAAUGUAAAUACUAAUUUAUUAGGUUUAAAGGGUUAAACCUAAUCAGAGUGUAGCCCUAGAUUAUAUAUGUAUUUCCUAAAGGAUUACUAGUUCACUAUAAUCUAUAGCUAUAAUAUCAAUUAUUCAUACCCCUGGCUGGCAACGGAAGCGUCAAGCUGUGCAAACUUAGGAUAUUCAGAUUUCAUGCCAAAGAUAUAAAUUGAGAAAUACACAGGAUGUAUUAAACAAAAUAGCAAUUUACUCAUUAAAUAAAAUAUGUUACAUAGUUGUUCAAGGUACAAGUAGGUUACCAAAGCAAAGUAGAAAAAUUAAAGCACAUAGACUUCGGGCUGCAUCACCGGGGUUAUCUCCUCCUUCAGACAUGUUCAUUCUCCUGAGAAUACGUGUCAUUUGAGAGGUCAACAUAAUGUUGGUGAGUCCAUAGGUUUAUGAUUCUUAAAGUGUGGGUGUUUUAGUUUAUCUUGUUUAUCCUAAACUUGCUUCCUUAAGUUUGUGUGUACUAUCACUACUUUCGUAGGUUGGUUCCUAGAAGUAAUCUAUGAUAGGUAGUUUUAUUUUACCAAAGUUACGAUGAGUUCUUAUAACCGAUCUAUGACGGUUGAUCCAAAAAAAACCAGGACGCUUCAUCGGACGUUGUUGAGUUUAGAAAGUUAUGUCUGCUUCGACAUGUUGUCAGGUUGUAGCUAGCAACCAUAGGUAGGGGUGUCAACCCCGUAUAAAUCUAUACAUAUCUAUCCUUCCCACUUAAGAUUUAACGAUUAUAGGUCGGGAGCUAGAUGAAAAUAUAUCAGCGUGUUAUUGAAUCAUGUCUCAUCUAACUCUUGUUGUAGUGGCCUCCCAUGGUCGGUCGUUAUGUUAUUCGUAUUUUAUUUUUAUAGUUUUACUUAUUUUAUAUAUAUAUAUAUAUAUAUAUANNNNNNNNNNNNNAUAUAAUUAGUGUGUUUUGCGUAACCCAGUGUUUGGGCAGAGUAAUACUAGGUACUAAGCUUAUCUGAAUGGUGGUUAAAAUAAUAAGAUUCAACGUUUCUUGGCAACUGGCCAGUGUGACAACUAGGUGUGAUCAUAUCUAUCAUAGUGGUUUAGCAUAACAACUACCCAUAAUAUUAGGUAAAGAGUUUGGGCAGAGUAGCUACCGGGCAUAAUAUCAUCCUAAUGUAAUGAGCAUAAUUCUCUAACUAUAAUUAGUAAUAACUAUGUAAAGGUUCAUUUUAGGCAUGUAUUCCCCCCGAAAAGGUUUGGAAAAUGGGGCUGUGAACUCACUCGUGAGUUAUGAAAAUGUUGUGGUAGGUUAGAAAUCACAAGUUCACACUUUGAGAUAUGUUUGAGGCGGUGGCACACGGAACGAUAUAGAGAGAAAACUGAAGCAGGGAAUGAGGAAUUGAGCUGCCGAAACUUGUUAUUUAUAGCAAGUUUUGGAGUGCAUGCCAUAGAAUUGCAUGUGAAUCAUACAAUGCUGCCACGUGUCCUCAUCUCAGAGUGCCACGUCAUCCCAUAUCUUGACGUAUCAGGUGUCGGUGACUGCGGCGCACUUUAGGUUAGCGUGCGUGAUGGUAAAAAUUCAACAUUGAAACUCCGUAACACUAGCAUAUGAACUCCAUUCUCAAAGACUCUUAUAUAACCGUGUAGGUAUCGUCAUUCUCUACAACUUUCCUUUUGGUCGUUUUGUCUAGUUUUGACUUUCUUUUUUCGACGUCUUUCUAUUACCCUUAUGAUUUUAUAAAAAUUAUAACUCAUUCAUAUGACGUCCGUUUUAGGCAUUCAUUGGCUCAUAAUUCCUACUUUUGUAAUAUUAUGAUUGCCUAGUUGAUAAGUUUUUCCAAAAGUCGAUCAAUAUCAUUGUAGUUCUAUUCAUUGUAACUUUUUAAAUACCGUAGAUAUUUAUUUUCCUUAAAUGUCAUAUCUCACUCAUACCAAGAUAGAUUCUUACAAAAUUUGUAUUUCUAGAAUCGCGGUAACCUAUAGAGUCUAAAUAUGUUAACCAUGUCUCAAAGUAACACGACUUUUUAUGCACUUAUUUUUUAGCCUAAUGGUUAAUGCAAUUAGGAACAAAAAAUUAGAAUAUAUUAAAAUAUAUUGUGUGAUUACAAGGAUGUCCUUAUUACAUUUUUACGUCCUAUAAUUAAAUAUUAACGGCAAUUGGUGAUGUAUUCUUUGGGUUGUCACAAAUUUUGACCUAGAGGCAAACUUGGAGGAUUUGGGUUGGUGAUUAGGGAUUUUUCUGUCUUUGUGAUAGUCGGUUUGCGGGAUUGAGCAGUACAAGGUGUGAGAGUGUAGUUUUGCUUCUUCGGUUCUUCAUUGCAAGUGAUUUUCUCACUAUUUUAUAUAUCUCAUUAUAUAUCCUUCGCAUGUUAGGAUAGAGGUGUUAUUAGAGCACAAGUAUGUUAUUAGUUGAGGUAAUUCCUUUGUAUUUAUGUGUUGUAUUAGACACUUAAUGUCAAUGUAUUAUAGACUCAUAAGGUCUUACUUGUUGAUUGUAUAGAACUGUUAAGGGUUAUGGUUGGUUAGUGUAACUAGGGUAGAUAAGUCAUCAGGAUUAUGUUGAUUGACCAGCGAAGGACUUAUUGAGAAGUGAUCAAUGGCAUGAAACUAGGAAAGACUAGUUGAUAAUGUUAUGGACAUGUAUGUAUUUGCUAUGUAGUUAUGUCGCAUGAUUAGGCAAAAGAGAUACUUUAGGUCCUAUGUAAUUUUAGUGGAUAGCCUGAGAACUCUUUGCUUAAUACCUGAUUGUGAUGUUCUUGUCUAAUUGUUCGCUCUUGGGUGGGUCACUGGUUUGACUGUCUGUCUAACCCCUGACUAAGUACAUUUGACUUUAUGAUUUGUUUGGAGACUGUGAGUUGAUCACAACACUGAUAAAAAGAAUGUGGUUGGAUCACAACACUAAUAGGAAGAAUGUGGUUGGAUCACAACACUAAUAAGAAGACUGUGGUUGGAUCACAACACUGAUAGAAAGGAUGUGUUUGGAUCACAGUACUGAUAGGAAGACUAUGGAUGGAUCACAUCACUGAUAGGAAGAUUGUGGUUGGAUCACAUCAACUGUAUGAAAGGCCAGGGUUCCCGUCACUAGCAAUAGAGCCAGGUUUAGGCUCGUAUACUCCCUAGGGUUGGGCCCGAUACACAUAAUAUAUGUAUGUGGCUAGAAGAGUUGACUGUUCAGCGUUAGAGUCGAGAUCUUGUGUGGAUACAUUAUAUGUAUUAUCGAGUAUGUGGUAUACUGAGGAACUCACUAUGUUUUAUGCAUGCAGUUGUGGAUCAAACAUUUUGUAGGCUGUUUGUGAGAAGUGCUCAGUGGGACUAUACACACGCAUCGAAGACGCUUGUUUCCACAGUUUUGUAAACUUAACUAUGAUAUUGUAUGGUUUUAACCAAAUAAAUGUUACUACAUGGUUUUGAAACAAAUAUUUUAAUUGGUUACUAUAUUUUAAAACUGAAAAAUCUCUUUGAAUUUUUGAGACGCUACAAUAAAUGGUACAUUUUGAAUCAUUUAAAAAAAAAAUUAAUAAGCUCGUUGAAAUACUAGUUUGUUUAGUUUUUCAAAUAGUUGGCUUAUUAAUUACUUUUUUACCUUAUCAUUUAUAGCAACCUAAAAAAAUAAAAUAAUAAACUAACUUGUAAACUAGUUAUGACUUGUCAAACAUAAUUAGUUAAUUUACUAAACUUUAUAUGAUACAUAAAUAAAUAAAUAAUAAUAAUAUUCCUCUGUAAGUCUCUAUGUAUGAAGAAAACGGACAUAGUUCUAAUAUACUUAUGAUAUACGGUUUUUAUUCUACAUAAUUUAAUUAAAAAAAAAAUAACUACUAAAUAUUUAAAAUUCCCUGAAUAAUAAAAAGGUAAAAAGUCGGACCAAAACACAACCAUAUAUGAUGCAAUCGGCCGAGUCUACUCAUUAAAAUUAGGUGGUUUAUCAUGUAUGGAUCUCAUACUUUCUUCUUUUGGCUAGUCCAUUAAUGCAAUUAUUGUUAACAAAAAAGCAUGCGUUAUGAAAUUUUGAAGUGUCGAUCAUGCUUGGUAAUAUAUACAACGUUAGAGGUUAGUGCAAGUGAUGUUUACAUGGGCGUCAAAUACUACUUCAAUUAAAGAUACAAUAUGAGAAAUGUAAAUUUAAUAGUUGGAAAAAUGAGUAGGUAUGCAGCGAUGUGUGGGGACUGUAGCUAGCUGUUAUCAGUGGAUGGAUCCAGUUAUAUGAAUUACUAUUCAAGUAUCCCUAUACUUUUGUGGAAUGCAUGUAUAUAUAAGGGUAAUAUGUGAUUGGAGUUAAUUACGAGCUCAUUGCCACCAAAAUUCAUCCAUGGGGCUCGCACCAUUUUUCAUCUUUGUGGCUGUUUUCAGCCUAUAUUUGGUUGAUGGACUCAAUCAUGAGGCCAAGGACGGUAUUUCAAAUCGUAGAGUUUUGAAAGAACUAAAUGUGCAUGGAAAGAACACAACUUCUUCUGAGAUUACUGUGGUUAACAGCAAAAUGGAAAUGAACCAUGGUGGUGGUGGUGGUGCUGGUGGUGGUGCUGGUGGGAGUGGGAGUGGGAGUGGGAGUGAUAGUGGGAGCGGGAGCGGGAGUGGGAAAAGUGGUGGAAAUAAGAGGAAGCACAAGAAAAAGCACAAUGGUGGUAAAGGGAACAGUGCNNNNNNNNNNNNNNNNNNNNNNNNNNNNNNNNNNNNNNNNNNNNNNNNNNNNNNNNNNNNNNNNNNNNNNNNNNNNNNNNNNNNNNNNNNNNNNNNNNNNNNNNNNNNNNNNNNNNNNNNNNNNNNNNNNNNNNNNNNNNNNNNNNNNNNNNNNNNNNNNNNNNNNNNNNNNNNNNNNNNNNNNNNNNNNNNNNNNNNNNNNNNNNNNNNNGGUGGAGGUGGAGGUGGUCAAGGUGGAGGUUGGGGUUGGGGAGGAGGUGCAAACCAAAAUUGUUGGAUAUGGGGAUGUGGAGGAGGACAUCCACCGGCGACCAAGGGAUGAGAAUAAGAUUUGAAGCAAUCGAAUGUAUGAAUUAUGUAUGAUAACCUUUACGUCUUCAUUGAAUGUUAGCAUGCCUCACACGUUCGCUAAUAAAUUUUGUUCUGUUUUUGAAUGAUCUUUGCCCUUGUGGUCUUCAACCAUUUCAAGAUUUCUUUCGCAAUACAACAACAAAUAACACUAUGCUUCAUUUUUCCAUUCCACUAAUCACAUCUAACCUUGGUAUAUCGUUCACUUUAAUCAUUCCCGAUUCCGAUUCGGAUGUUAUUUAUCGUUUUACAUACUCUAACCCGGAUUAACCAAAAUAAACUAUAAUCAACCCAAUUUCUGUUGAUGAGUCUAUCAAUCCUUUUUGACUAUAUCACAAACACUGAAUCCUUUCUAACUAUAAUCAACCCAAUUUCCAUGGUAUAAUCCGCUAACGAGGAAAAAAAAUCUAAGUGCAAUGUCUAAGUUGUGCAUCAACAAACAUUCAUGCAAAAUGAUAGCCCCAUGUGAUGGUCGUUUUUCCCUUGUGGACGGUUUUCCCCAUGCUCCGGAUCUGCCCCUGUAGUGGAUACUUUUGAUUUUCUCUCCUAGUGUUGCUUCCUUGUUCAUUGGCUCUCUUCAUGGUUUUGUUCUAAAGAUAUCUCAUUUAAUUGGUUAUAUCUUCAUCUAGGUUUCCACUUGUGAGGUCUCCUUAAGUCCUGGUGGUUCUUAUUUGGCCUCAGUGGUGUUUCUUUUGCAUAUGCUUUAUAGUUAAAGCAUGGUAUAAAAGGUGCCUACCAAAAUAACGACUCCAUGUGGAUUCUCUCAAAGUACCAUAACUAAGAAGAUAAACGAAAGCACAACGUUAUAAUUGUGUAGAACUUUCAAAAUGCAUCGUUCUAAAAGAAAACAAAAUGAAAGUAAAAUCUUACAAUUUAAUAUAUUUGUCGAAUCAAAGGACAAUAGAUGAAACACCAUUAAAGCCUUGAGAUCAUAUUGUAAAGUGAGCAUUUCAUAUGCAUGCUAAUAUAUUCUUCUCAUGGAAGAGUAAAAUAGACUAAGGUUCAAAUCUAUCAAAAUGCAUUUUUUAGGCAUCGGAAGUAUUAAUUAGACUACAAAGAAUGUUAAUGGCCCGAAUAUAAUCUUAUAAAUUAACAACUAUUAAGCAUUUCACAUACAUUAACAUAAUCAAUAAAAAUGAGUACAUAAUAGAAUAUUAGUUUACACUCAAAUGAGAUAGAAUGCUUACAUCGCAAUAGCCAAUAGCGGAUUGUGUUACAGACUACUAUUUUAAAGAAUCUGAAGAUGAUAAUCUAGUCAAAAGAAAGGUAGUAGUUUCUCAUAAAUAUCCUAGGCAUGAAAUGAAACGCACCUCCAACUCUUGCUAUAGAAGUUGCUACUAGCAUGUGACCAACAAUGGCUGCACUUUCUUAUGUUUUAAACAAUAUGAAGAAGACAUAGAAUUUAGUGAAAACAAUUUCUCUAAGUUUUUUUUGGUGUUAGGUAAGCACCCAUAUUAACAAUAAAAAUAAUAACAAAAUAAAAAAAUAAAAACCAAAAACCUUAAAGUAUCUCCAAUAUAGUAAACAUUUUCCACAAAACUUAUGUAAAAGUUUCAAACUAAAUUUUAUUUAUAAAAAAAUACAAAAUAUCGGCUAAAACUUCGAAAAAAAAAAUCGACAGGCUCUGCAGUUUUGGCUGGUAUAUGUCAUGUCCUUUUUGUUAGUUUGGUCAAAAUAUGAAGACUUUUUUGAAAAUUACCCAAUAACCAAAAUAUUUGGAUUUUUUUGAAAAAUACUAUGGAAUUAAUGAAUAUUAUUAUUAACGAAUCAUGUAUAAACAUAACAAAUAUUUUUUAUUAUAGAAAAACUCAUUUGUUGCUAAUUUCUACGAAUAGAAUGGUGAACUAAGUACUCCUCUAUUAUUUGCAGACCACUUCAAACUCGCAGAGGAAUAACUCGAGAAUGCAGCCCAAAUGAACCCUCAAAGCACUCACUGUUGGGUCAUCGAAGAUCUCCACCUCUAACGGGUUAUCCAAUACGUCUGGAGCGUCAUCAAACUUCUUGCUAAGCGCAAGGGACACGAAAGAUCUUAUGGGUUUUAUAGGUUAUCAAAAACAUGUAAAGCGGAAAAUCUUAACACUUAAGUUCACAUGCAACAAAUAAAGGAUCUAUGUUUUUUUCUAAUUGAUAGCAACAUACUAUGAACAUCAAGAACACUAAAGGAACUCUAUGAAAAUCAAAAUUCAUGAAUUAGGGUUUACAUACCUUUAGAUUUAUUAUAGCAAAUAAAUCUUUGAUCAUUUCCUUUGUGGCUUUAGAAAGCAAGCAUCAAAAGUAUGAUGUCGGUAAUGGCCCACACCCAAAACCUCAGAUACCCUAGAAUGAAGAGGAGGGAGAGGAGAUUGAUAGAAAUUCCUUUCCUAAGCUUUUAGGUAAAGGUAUGAACGAAAUUUGUUGGUCUUGGGGUCCUAUUUAUAGUUUAGGUAACCUGCAGGCAAAGUCGGAUUUGAAUUAAUUAAAUAAUAGAUUUAAUCUCAAUUCAAAGCUAAUAUCAUAAAAGUCUUAUAUUUUGCCAUUAAAUUGGAAAAAUCCUUGAUUUUAAUUUUUUUGUUGACUGUGGACAUGAUAUUUUCAUGGAAUUAUCACUUAAGAGCAAAUACCCAGUGAUGAGCAGGUUACCUGUACUAUCUGGUCACCAGUAACCUAUUCCCUAGCCAUUAGCUUUAACAAACCAUCACUUGUUAAAAGAUGUCACGUAUUCGAGAAGGGUUUGACGCUGAGAAGGGUUUCACAGUCCCUAAUUUAGUUUCUUGGAUUUUUCAGAAGAAACUUUCAGAGCCCCCACAAAACUAUGUGAUGAUCCUUUUCUUAACAUAUUGUGUGAUGAAAACAUAUUAAGGAUGACUAUUGAUGGAAUGGUAGAUGAUAGAGACAAUCCUGGUGGCCAACAAAAUGAGCAUGCCCACUUAAAUGAGGACGAUGAAGAUGUUGGCGUCGAGUAUACGGUGCAUAAUCCCAAUGUUAAUUGGAAAGAGAUAAGGCCCCGAUUAGGAGAUUGUUAUGAACCCCCUGCUCAACUCAGGUUUGCUUUAACAAACAAUGCAGUCCAUGGAGGAUACCAGCUUAAUUUUGAAAAGGUUGAUAGAUUUAGGGUUAUAGCUAAGUGUGGUAGUCGAAGCAGUGACAAUAACAAAAAUGCAUGUCCAUUUAGGGGUGUUGUUGGAUGGAAGUACAAGUACAAUGAAAGAACAUUCCAGAUUAAAUAAUAUAAUGAAAUUCAUCUGUGUGCUAGGAACUAUCACUUUGGUUCCCUAGUUAAUAUCAAUUGUUUAGCCAAACACUACCUGAAAGAUGUAAUCAUGAAGUCCAAGAUGACAUUGUUAGAGAUGCAAGCAAGUAUGCUACAAAGGUUUUUAGUGAUUCUAUCUAUUAGGCAAUGCCAAAGAUCAAGGGCUACUGCAAUGGGGUGAUAGAAGGAAGUUAGAAGACCAUUAUGAUAGGGUUUGGGAUUAUAAAGCCGCAAUUAAGUUGACUAAUCCGAGUACAACUUGCUUAGUGGGGGUAGAAAGUAACCUGGGGUGUAACUAUUUCAAGAGGUUUUAUGUUGGCAUCAAAGCUUUCAGGGGCGGAUGGAACAGAGGCUGUAGAAGGGUGAUAGUACUAGAUGGUAGUUUCUUGAAGGGGUGGGUAAAGGGAUAGAUUUUAACUGAUAUUAGGAGAGAUGAAAACGAUCAUGUUCACCCAAUAGCAUGGGCAUUUGUGAAUGUUGAGAAUAAGGACAACUGGACCUGGUUCGUCGAGAAUUUGGUUGUUGAUUUGGAUCUUGAUGCUGGCAAUGGACUGGUUGUUAUCUCAGACCAACACAAGUUACAUACAACAUAUAUUAGUAUACAAUAUAUAUAUAUAUAUAUAUAUAUAUAUAUGUGUGUGUGUGUGUGUAUGUGUGUGUAACACUCAUAACGUUUACAUGUCCUGUGUUUGUUUGUUAAUUAUAGGAACUUCUACAGGCUGUGGCAAACCUAAUCCCCCCAUGUUCAGCACAGACAACGUGCUAGACACAUCUUUGCAAACUUCAGGAAGAAAUACAAUGUAACAUUCGAUUCCAGGUAUGUUCUUGUUUGGUCCUUAAAGUUGAUAAUUUUUUCAAUAAUGGUCCCUCAUACGUUGGGCGCACAUUUGGUACGCUUAGCGUACAUGUGUAGUUGGAGACGGGGAACUUAACCACGUAUGUUGGGCAUACAUGGUGUUCGCGAGGCAUACAUCAUCCAACACUCAACCCUAAUUUUUUGGGCAUAAGCCCAAUUUAAACAUCAUUAUGGCCUUUAGACACUUACUCUCAUUAGCAUCCACUGUUCAUUCUUCCCUUUGAAACCCUAUUUCACCCUCUUUGUGUGUUCUUCAGUUAUGUAGUGAUUUUGUAGCAUUUUAGUAUGUGUUCAAGAAGAAGGAACUUGGAGACCAAGCAUAUGUUGAGGUUUAGCUUCUAGAUCUAGAGUCUUCAUCAACUUUGGAAGCUUUUGAAGUGUGAUAUCUUCCGGUUUGGUAGUCAAGCAAUUAGUUACUUAUCAGCGGACUGAGGUGAGUUUUCUCACUGUAUUAAUGGUUCGAAGGCACCAAGGUCGGCCCAUUAUUUGUGAUGUAGAAUGUUAGUCAUAAUUGUGAUAUAUGUAUGAAAGACUAGGAUUUGGCCCCUGGCAAUUGUAUGAAAGACCAGGAAGUGGCCCCUAGAAUUUGUAUGAAAGACCAGGGUCUGACCCCUGGCAACUGUAAGGAAGACCGAUAUUUGGCCCCCGACAUGGAAUUACUUGUAAGACUAUGGUGUGGCCCAUAGCACUAAUUUAUUUAUGUUUUGUAUGUGGUACUCAUGGAAACUCACCAAGCUUUUUCUUACAGUUUGUAUUUAUGUUUUCAGGUACUUCCGGUACUAAGGGAAAGGGUCUGGUGUGAUGGCACAGCAUGAUGUAAUGGAUUUUGGAACAAUUUAAUGACUGUAUCUCUUGUUUAUAAAAAUGAAAAAAAAAAUUGGUUUUUUGGCUAUUACAAGUUGGUAUCAGAUCUUUGGUUUGAGGGAUUCGGGCACACUUUCGGGUGUACCAAAACUCAAACUAAGGAAAUGAUAAUCUUUUCAAAAUAAAAAUAAUUUGAAUUUUUGAAAAAGAUUCUUUUAAGUAAAAAGGGGAGUGCAAUGCGUGUAAUCAGUCGAGCUCAAGUACGUAUUUCCCAAGGUACCCGUACUUAUAUAUUGUGAUUAGUAUACCUUAUAUGUGAACUACAUGCUAGAUUAGGGCUAAGGAUACCUUCAUGAGUAAUAUGAUAGAAUUCCCUGAUUUGUGUAAUGCCUUAUAGCUCAAUAUAACUUGAUGUCAUGUAUUACUUGGAAUUGAUAUCAGCUCAGUUAUUUGCUAAGUGUAUGCUUUUAAAGUUGUAUAUGAUUAGGAUUGUAUAGCUCUAGAAUGAUUGAUUUAGCUUCAUUUCCUAUUCCUUGUUUGGUUGUGGACUUAGUCUAGAAUCUUCAUUCAACAGUCUAUGUGAUCCUAUUUUAUAUACCACUUGCAUGCAUAAGGCAACCAGUGGUGUUGAUUGAGGUUCUUGGUAUUGCUAGUGGUAAGUUCCUAGAAGAGUCUACGAUAUUUAUGUUGUGUAGCAUAGGUUUGUUCUUGGUUAUAGUUUGGUAACUUAGAGGAAUCUGAAUUUACCUUGUAAAGGUACAUGUAGGUGUAGAAAGUAGUAUUGGGCCCAUACUACUAGAAGCAUGGGACCGGUACCUGAGACAGGUGUAGAUCUAGGGAUCCUAAGGAUACCUGUGUGUUGCGAGUUUCCCUCGAGUGUUUGCUGAUUGUUUAUAUCUUGUGUUUUAGUUUGAUGAUGGUGGUCACUCGUUUGGCAACAGGGGUUUCUAGUUUUGGCUCUGGAUCGGGUUCAGGUUCUGGCUCUGGCUCAGAACCGAUUGAUGAGAGGUAGAGUGAGCUCAUUGUAGAUGAGGUUACUCGCAGUAUUCUUGACGCCACCCCCAUGAUUUUCUAUACCAUCAAGCAGGGGAUUGUGUAGCUCAUAGAGGAGCAGUUCAGGUAUUUUCGAUCCGAGAUCGUUUCGGGUCUGAUUGGGACUUGGCCUCCCUCAUUCUAGGAGUUCAAGGCGUGUGGAGCGCCUGAGUUCAUUGGGGCUAAGCACCCGAUAACUAGACAUUACUGGCUCGCUGACAUGGAGAAUGCACAGCGUACGAGUUAUUUCCCUGAGGGGGAAAAGGUGGGUUUCGCGUCCUACUUACUGAGGGACAAAGCACGGGACUGGUAGGAAGAGGUUACUCGAGCAGUAGGUUUUGCAGCAGUGGCUGUGAUGACAUAAGAGGACUUCGUUGAGAGGUUUCAAAGGGAGUUUGCACAAGACUAUAGAGACUGUGGCGGAGAUUACCGCCAAAUUCAGGGAGAGAGCCUACUGGUCCCGUAAUAAAUUAUGGAUGAGGACAUGAGGAAGAAGAGAUAUUAUGAUAUGUUAACGGGUGAUAUUAGGGAUUUUAUGAGCUUCUCGAGGUGCAAGACCCCGAAUGAUAUGGUCAAUACGGGUGAUAUUAGGGAUUUUGUGAGCGGGAGAUUGAGUUGGAGCUCCGGACUAAGUGAAAUUCGGAGAAGGUUCAGUUAGUUGUGGGUCAAGAUAAGAGACCCAAUACCUUUGAUACCCACACUAGAGGCCAACAGGGUCAGGGACGUUGUACCAUGUGUGGCAAGCCGCACAGUGGAGCUUUUCGAUCAGCAGGUUCAUGAUGUUUUAGCUAUAUCUAGUCGGGUCAUGUGAGCAGGGAUUGCUCCAAGAAGGCUCUAAUUUGCUUUCAUGCAAUCAGAUCGGCCAUAAAAAUGCUGAUUGUCCAAGAUUUUCCGGAGGAGCAGUGGUGGCACCAGCACCAGCCACCUUGAGGAUUACCAAUGGCUGCCAGAGGCUCAUGUAGUGAAGAGCAGGGCUUUUCAGCUGACCACCGAUGUUGCAUGUUCAGCAUCGGAUGUAGUUACUGGUAUAUGUUAUAACCCUAUCUUUUAUAUAUUUCCUUUUUUAUGCUUAUAUUUAUUAUGGUCUUGUAAAGGGACCUUUUUGGUCAACGGGUUGUCUGCUCAUGUUCUGUUUGAUUUAGGGCUACCCAGUCCUUCGUAUCUCUUGCACUCAGCAAGAAGUUUCGAGACAUUCCAGGGACUUUAGGUUCCCCUCUGGAGGUAGAGAUUGUGGAUGACCCUACCGUGAGUGCUUUGAGGUUUUUCUGGGGGUGUGUCCUGGACAUGUUUAGCGAGCGGUUCUCUAUUGAUUUGGUGUUGAUCCCCAUGAGAGGAUCGAAGUUUAUCAUUCGAAUGGAUUGGUUAGGCCCCAAUGGGGUUGUGAUUGAUUGUGAGCAGCAGCUAGUAAGAGUUCGAACCCUGAGUGGGGGAGAACUGGUUGUUACUAGCGAGAGAUCUUCGCAAGGGCCAACUCUCUGUUUAGCUGCGAGGGCCAGGAGAUAUCUGUAACAGGAUUGUUUUGGGUUCUUAGCCUAUGUUUCUGAUACACGGGUUAAGGCCACGAUGGAGUUGAGAAGGGUACCCAUUGUGCAGGAUUUUCUAGAUGUUUUCCCCAAGGAUUUGCCUGGAGUGCCUCCUAAGAGGCAGGUUGAGUUUUGGAUUGAUUUGGUACCUAGUGUGGCUCUGAUAGCCAAGGCGUCGUAUCGCCUGGCACCACCAGAGAUGUAUGAGUUGUCUACGCAGUUGCAGGAGUUGCUAGACAAGGGUUUUAUUCAUCUGAGCAGUUCUCCGUGGGGAGCACCAAUCCUAUUUGUGAAUAAUAAAGACAUUUCCCACAUGAUGUGAAUUGAUUAUCGGAAGUUGAAUAAGCUAACAAUGAACAACCGUUCCCACUCCUGAGGAUCGAUGAUUUGUUUGAUCAACUCCAUGGUGCAUCUUGGUUUUCCAAGAUUGAUUAGCGAUCAAGGUACCACCAAAUGUGGCAGCAGAGAUGGAUGGAUUUGGUAAAGUAUUAUGAUUGCGAUAUCCUAUACCACCCUGGGAAAGCCAAUGUGGUGGCCGAUACUUUGAGCCGUAAGGCGGCAAGUAAUCCUAUCAGAAAUGUUUGCUUAAGAAUGGUUGUCAUCUUACCUCUAUCAGAUUUGAUGAAGGAAUUUGAAGUUGAGGGUAUGAAAAGGAGAAUUGGAAGGUCGAGCGAAUCAUGGGGAAAAUUCCCUUGUUUGUUAAGGACAGUCGUGGAUUGUUGACUGAGUGUGGUAUAAUUGGCUCCCGACACGAGGUGAAGCGAGACAGAUGGUACUAGAAGAGGUCUAUAGGUCAAAGCUCUCUAUCCAUCCAUGGGCCACAAAGAUGUACAGGGAUUUGAGGAUGACUUAUUGGUGGCCCUGUAUGAAAAGGGAGGUAGCUUGGUUUGUUAAGCGGUGCCUGACUUGCAAGAAAGUGAAGGCCGAGCACCAGAGACCCUACAACAAGGUACAGCCAUUACCCAUUCCCAUGUGGAAAUAGGAGGAGAUCACUAUGGAUUUCAUCACAAAAUUUCCUAGGACAACACAUAGUGUUGAUUCUAUCUGGGUCAUCAUGGACAAACUAACCAAGAGUGCACAUUUCAUUCUGAUUACAGAGAGCAUAUCUGCAGUAACGCUAGCUAAUAUUUAUGUCCGGGAAGUGGUGGUUCGGCACGGGGUUCCAGUUUCAGUGGUCACGAACUGAGAUGUUCAUUCCACCUCCAGGUUUUGGAGGAAGUUUCAUGAGGAGUUAGGUACUCAGUUGCAUUUUAGUACUGCAUAUCACCCUCAGACCGAUGGCCAGAGCGAGCGAGUGAUCCAUACACUCGAGGAUAUGCUUCAGGCUUAUGUGUUGGAUUUUUUUUUUUUUAGGGGGGGGGGUACCUACCUUCCACUGGAUGAGUUCUCCUACAACAAUAGGUAUCAUGCUAGUAUUGACCGACCACGAUUUGAAAUGUUGUAUGGGAGGAGAUGCAAGGCCCCGGUUUGUUGGGGUAAGGUUGGUCAUCAGGUCAUGGGAAACAUUGAGGUAGUGCUUAAGACCACAUAAUUGAUUCAUCAGGUGCGUGAAUGGUUGCGGGUCGUGCAGAGUCAACAUAAGAUUUAUACCGAUCAACGUCAUUUGGACAUUGAGUUUCAGGUAGGAGACUUCGUGCUGCUGAAGGUGUCACCUUCGAAAGGUAUCAUCCAGUUUUGGAAGCAGGAAAAGUUGGGCCCUUGGUUUAUUGGUCCUGUCAUGAUUACUGCCCGAGUGGGAACGGUUGCAUACAGGUUGGACCUGCCUAAGGAGCUCAAUCAGAUCCAUAACACUUUCCAAAUGUCUCAGUUGCGGAAGUGUGUAGCUAAUAAUUCAGCAGUGAUUUCGGUGGAUGAUAUUCAGGUUGAUGACCGCCUGAAUUACAUGGAUAAGUCGAUUGCUAUCCUCGCCAACAAAAUCAAGAUACUCCAUAAUAAGGUGGUGAAUCUAGUGAAGGUGCAAUGGCUGCACCUAAAUGGCUCUUAGUGGACAUGGGAGAUGGAGGACGAGCUGACGGAGCACUACCCUGACUUGUUUGCAUCAACGGAAUUCAAGGAUGAAGUCUAAUUCAAGUGAGUAAGAUUUGUAACAUUUGAUUCCAGGUAUGUUCUUUUUUGUUCCUUAAUGUUGAUAAUUUUUGCAAGAAUGGUCCCUCGUACGUUGGGUGCGCAUUUGGUACACUUAACAUGCAUGUGCGGUUGGUGAUGGGGAACCUAACCACAUACGUUUGGCAUGUAUGUUGGGUGUACAGUAAGCAAGACCAAACCCUAAUUUUUAGGGCAUGAGCACUAUUUAAACGUCAUUAUGGCCUUUAGACACUUACUCUGAUCAACCUCCACUAUUCAUUUGUCCGUUUAAAACCCUAGUUCACCCACUUUGAGUGUUCUUGUGCUUUAAAGUGAUUUUGUGGCAUUUUAGUGUGUGUUCAAGAAUACGGAACCUAGAGACCAAUAAUUUGUUAAGUUUGAGCUUCUAGAUCUAGAGUCUUCAUCAACUUUAGAACCUUUUGAAGUGUAGGAUCCUCCGGUUCGGUAGCUGAGCAUUUAGUUAUUUAUCAGUGGACUAAGGUGAGUUUUCUCAUAGUAUCAAUGGGUUAAAGGCAUCAAGGUCGUCCCAUUAUUCGUUAUGUAGAAUUCUAUUCAUAAUUGUGAUAUGUGUAUGAACGAACAGGAUUUGGCCCCUGGCAAUUGUAUGAAAGACCAAGAUGUAGCCCCUGGUAUUUGCAUGAAAGACCAGUGUCUGGUCCCUGGAAAUUGUAAGGAAGAUCGGGAUUUGGCCCCCAGCAGGGAAUUACUUGUAAGACUAUGGUCUGGCCCAUUGUACUAAUUUAUUUAUGUUUGGUAUGUGGUACUUGGGUAAACACACUAAGCUUUUGCUUACAGUUUGUAUUUAUGUUUUUAGAUACUUCUGGUACUAAGGGAAAGGUCCCGACGUGAUGGCACAGCAUACUCCCCUCACUAUUUUCCGCACUUAUUUAUAUUAUUACUCUGAUGAUUGGAAAUAGUUAUUAUGUAAUGGAUUUUGGAACAAUUUAAUGACUGAAUCUCUUAUUUAAAAAAAAUGAAAACAUUUAUCCAGGUUGUUGGGAUGCUACAUACACAAGACUGGAGCUGAAGAAUUUUUUUUUGGGAAGCUGUUAUGUGUACAGUGAAAGGGGACCUUCUUGCUACAAUGGAGAAGAUAAAUAAGAUAAUAGAAAUAGGAUACAACUAUCUUAUGGAAAGGAAACCUAUAACCUGGUGCAAAGCCUUCUUUUCUCAUGGGUAUGCUUAUGAAGCAGUAGAGAAUGGAGUCUCAAAAUUUUUCAAUGGCAUAAUCAAAGAAAUAAGGAAUGAGCCUCUACUUACAAUGCUUAAGGAAAUAAGGAUUCUCCUUAUGAAAAGUUUUUAUCAUCAAGGUCAAGAGGUACCUAAAUGGAGGGGUAUGAGUUAAUGUUAGUUUUUACGGGCUUGUAUCGAUAUGUAUUAUGUAUUUAUUGUUUAUGUGUAUAAUUUGUUUUUUUUGUAGUUUGUGGAUAGUGUUGCCAAAUGGAGGUGAUGUGUUGAAGACAAGGUAUGACUAUAUUUGAAACAAGGUGGAUUUCGCUACUCACACUUGCACCUGUAACUUGUGGAUAUUUGUCACACCCCCAAACCAGAACGGCGGAAUCGUUUGAGGGUGGAUGACUUCAUGUACAAUAUCAUAACAAUGUAAAGUAGUAAACAAGCAACAACAUCGUCCAUUGCAUUAAUAGUAAUAGUUUAAUAUAUGUGUGUUCUUUCAUAGUAAUAAGACAUUACAACAAGUAAUCAAAAUAAAAGACGAGUCUUGACUGUUCCGUCUUCGCAAAACCUGGUCAUCGUACAUGUCUACUGGUGACCUGCGAAUACAAGUUAUUUUGAAAGUGUAGGUCAGCAUUUAAGCUGGUGAGUUCAUAAGUAUUUAAUGUCAUUGUUUGUAUAAGUAUGAUGAAAACGUUUGAAAUUGUUCAAUGUAAUUGUUUGUAUAUGUUUUGAAAACUCCUAGAAAAUCCCAUAUUUUCUACUUGUAUAAAAGUAGCCUUUUAUCGAGGCCUGACUAUUUUUGAAUAUUUGUUUCUAAAAGUCCAACAUUUAUCCAUAAGUGUGUGGUAGUUUAAAAGUUCCAAAACUAUAACACAAUGAUGUUUUUCAUGCCUAAAUAAUAGAUUUAUGUAUGUAUAAAAUCGCCAAGGCACUUGAUGACUCUGUAAACCAAUAUAUUUUUAAUACUCCAUGUGGGUCUUUUGUUUAAGUAAAACUGGUUAAAAGGGUGUUUAUCCCAAAUUGGUAACAUGCUAAUAAUAUCCCAUGGUAUAGUUAUUACCCCCUGAGCAUGAUUGAGUUAAAUGUAUAUUAGUACGUACAAGAGUUGUUUCCGCGGUUUGUAAGUUUCUCAUAACCAUACUAGACGUAGUACUAAUGUCGACAUUAUUCACCUUAGACCUACCGGUCUAACUGGAGGUUACAGUUUAGGUGCGGGUUCGUCAAACCCGUAUGGAUCUAUAAAAAAAUUCACGCUCUCCCUCCAGGAGACUCUGGUUAAAGAUGGGGACUUUCGUUUUGGUACUAACAAAGCCAUAUGUCUCACAUGAUUGCUAACAACAAGUUCACGAGUAAUAUGAUGAAAUACCUUUUGUAUGAAAAGAUUAUCAUUGUUAAGAAGAAUGCAUACUUGUAAAUAAAACGUUGGUAUAGUUGGAUCCGGAAGUGUUCUUAUACUAUAGUAUUUUAGUAUGUUCUCUUUAUCAUAGUAUAUUAGUAUGUUCUUUUGUCAUAGUGUUCUAUGUUAUAGUAUUUGUAUACGAUAGUAUUCUCCUAAACUAUACCUAUUAUAGUUUACUAGUAGGUUCCGUUAUAGUAUUUGAAGAAAUGAAUGUACACCUUUGCUACUCAAAGGUAUUGAACUGAUUGAAUAGUACUUUUAUAUCAACAUAUGUAUACAUAAUAUAUAAGUUUAAAAGGAAAUUUCGUAACACGUUUGAAUGAGUCUAAUAAUAAAUACUGAUGACUUGAUGUCAGUGUAUACAACGAUUUAAAAAGUAGUUUGUUUGAUAAGACAAUGUAAAGUAAAAGUAAUCCCUUGUUUGAAAACACAGUUAUAAAUCGCAUGUGAUUGAUUAUAUAACAAAGAGUAUAACAAAAGAUUUAUGUUUUUCACACGAUGAUAACUGUGUGUUUACUUGUAUCCCCCCCCCCCCCUAAAGUGUAUAAAAUGCAUUUAUAAAACAUUUGAAAGUAUAGUUAUAGGGUAUGAACUCACUUGAUAAGUGGUGAAUCGAGCAGCGUUUCGUUUCCAAGAAGGAUCGUUCUUGACGUAACCACGAGUCUUGGGUGAACAAACGAGCUUCACACGAGCAGUACUUCGACUGGAAAGAAGUUAGUUUCUCGGGAGAUUCGGAGCGUUGGGACUCACGUCGUGUGUGAGAGGUGUUACCGGGGCUUCGGGGUGGUUUAGAAGGGUUUAAUAGCGUGUAGAAGUAGGAGAGAGGAUGGGGUUGAGCAACCAAACUCGAAAGGCUUAGAUUUCUUUAUAUAGUCACAAUUUUGACUCUCACCUCGUGAGUUUUUCAUAACUCACGUCGUGAGUUUGGUCCCAAAUCAUCAUGGCAUGCGUCACUCAUUAACUUGCUCUGGAAGGGUCAGUCUGGCAGCUCACCUCGUGAGUUUUUUUGUUCACCUCGUGAGUCACCUGACAGCAUGGGGUUUUGGACCCCAAACUUGUAAAAUCCGUAACUUUUGCGUACGGGCUCCGUUUUCGACGUUCUUUAUAUGCACGUGUAGCUGAAAAUAUGCUCUACAACUCUCGUUUAGACUCCAUUGGCAAAUUUUGAAUUUAUUUUUAAUUAAUUAUUUUUAAUGGGCCGGGACUAGAAAAGUUCGUUAAAAAUCCAUAACUCCUUCAUCUGAUGUCCGUUUUCGUCAGACUUUUCACCGUUGCACUACUAUUGUUGAUGUCUUUGAUUCUUAUUUAGGUUGUAUCUGCCAAAAAUCUCUCGAUCUCUAUUUCGAGUUUUUAGCUGUCUAUUGCUAUAUCAGGAUCUUGGAAAAAUCAUAACUUUCUCAUACGAAGUCAGAUUUUGACGUUCUUUGUACGUACGUUUACGGUUUAAUGAUAUCUACAACUUUCAUUUAGAUACUUAAAGCUAAAAACUAUUGUAUCGAAACAUCGUGUUUUUACGUCUAUCCGUAUUGUCGGUUUUGUCGGGAAUCUUAGAAUGGUUAUAACUUCUUCGUUAUAACUCGGAUUUUAGUGUUCUUUAUAUGUACGAAAAACUUGAUACGAUUCCUACCACUUUAUUUAACCCAAAUAAGAUUUUAAUUUUGACCUAAAUUUGACUAGUGUUACAUUAUAUUGUCUCGAAAUAUCGGGUUGUCACAAUAUUUUCCAGAAUACCAUGUGUUCAUAGUCAAGGUGCAAUCAACUUCAUCCACAAAGAUCCAAUUUAGUUCAUUUCUUCUUGGUUCCAUAAGGACAAGUAUGUUGCAACAUACAUGGAGAACAUACUACCUGUAGGUGGACGCAACUUGUAGCCAAGAACUGAGUUUAUUAAACCAUUACCACCCCCAGUCAGAAGGAUGCUUGGAAACCCAAACUAAAGAUAAUGAAUCAUGCAUUUGAAUCACAACAUGCCAAAUACCCCUCAGAAAGGUUAAAGGUGCCUAGGACUGUGAGGUAUGGAAAGUGCCAAGAGCUUUGACAUAAUAAGAUUUCAUGCACAAAUGAUGAGGUAACUAAGCCCCUGUCCAAAAAAAGGAAGAUUGGAAGACCUAGGAAAGAUAAGGGAGGCUAACCUACAUUUGACCAAUUCCCUCCAGUUAGGCCUGCUAUACGAAGAAAGGAUGGUGAUCCUCCUGAUUCUGAAUCUAGUGGUCAAGAUGGUGCUCCUCCUGUUUCUGAAUCUGAUGAUCGAGAUGGUGGUCUUGCUAUUACUCUUAUGAAAAGGACUAAGAUGAUGACAAAGAGAGGAGGGAAAACUAAGGUUGCUUUACCAAGGCACAAAACACCAAAGAGAGCCUAUGGGGCUUUUAAUGGCCUUUUCACCUAUACACCUACUGGUAAGCACCCUAUGAGUCAAGAAAAAGAGGAUGUUUCGCUAAGAUUUGAUGAGGCUUUUCAUGACCUUUUCACCCAUACACCUAAUGGUAAGCAACCUAUGAGUCUUUUGGGUAAGAAAUAUGGUUUAUACUUCGCUUUUCUUAGAUAUUUUAGUUUUCGGUCUAAGGUCGAAAACUCCUUGGGUUUAUUUGUAGCUUGGACCGAAAACCAAUGUGUUUUUGGUCUAGCAUUUGGGUUUGGGCUUUGGGUUUUGUCUAUAGGUAUAAAUAGGGUGGAGGAGGAGCGUUUUAUAAGUCUACACUAAGGAUGGGCGUUUUUGGUUAAGGGGGCAUUAUUGUUACAUUUUGGAGUGCUAUAGAGAGAAAGUUAGAGAGAGAGCUAGUGUGUGUGAAUCUUGUGUAAGGAUUAUCAUUCAUAUCAUCAAUACAUCAUAGAUUCAUCAAGUUCUUCUUCUGCUCAGUUCUAUCCUGCAUCAUCCACUUAAUUGGGAUUCCGUACCAUCAAGUGGAUCGGAUUGAUACUUCAAGCGAAUUUGGGGACUUAUAGUUGGUAUCACUACAUGGAUUGUAUCAAUCUCUUUGGAAAGAUCUGAAGCAUUUUUUAAAUUUUGCUUGAACGAUCAUACGCUUUUGGAUAGGUUUUAAAAAAAUAUUGGGGGUUUGUUCUUCGUGUUUUUCAUAAAAAUGAGUUUUUGAUCGAGUUUUGGAGCUACAAAGGUGAAAAAAUCGUGUUUUUUGAUGUAAAUUUGCAUGAUCCAGCGGCCAUUUAUGCACAGCAGGUUGCAUGUCCGAGGUCUGGAAACUCAUUUUGCGGUCAACAGCAUUUACAGCCAAAGUGUUUACAACCGAAAUCCGUUUUUGGCUUCGGACUUUUUCGGCUUCAAACAUCACGCACGUGUUCGAUCAGCAAUUCUAGCAAGUGUUCAGUCCAGUCCUCGCAGGUCAGCAGCCUCGUUUGCGGUCAGCACUCUUGUUCAACAACGAAUAUAUAAAAAUUUUGGUGGAGCAAGGAUAGAACCUAGGUCUCUCACACAUACAACCUACGCCCUUACCAAUCCGUCCAGCAAGCCACAUGUAAUACAUCUUCCCGAUUUAGUUCAAGUAGCUUCGUUUUUUUCGGUUCUAAUUUCGGAUUUUUGUCAAUAUUGGCCCAAAAAUCAAGUUUUUCAAAAUUUGAAGUUUCAUUUUUGGCCAUAAACAUUUGACUUUUAAUUUUUGACUAUCAUUUUUUACUUUUGACCUUAAAAUUUGACUUUGACUUUCAAGUUUGACCUUUGACUGUAAACUUUCACUUUUUUGUUUUAUUUUAAAGUUUAACAUAUAGCUUUUCGGUUUGACUUUUAAGUUUGAAUUUUUUAGUUUAACUUUUAAGUUUGACUUUUUUUAACUUGAAUUUAAGGUUGACUUUUGAGGUUUAUAGUCAAAGGGCAUUUUUGGUAAACAAUGAGUUCCGUAAACAUCCUGGUCAAUGAAGUUUCAUGCUCUCAAUCUUGUGAAGCUAUGAUUAAAUUUCUUCAUGAUCAAAUCGAUUUAUUAAAAAGAGGAAAUGAAGACCUUAAAUAUGAACGUUAUACUCUUAGGAAAGGUCAAAAACCCUUAAAAGCACAACUAUAGGCCAAAACCAAGGAUUUUGGAAAACUUCAAGUAGAAUACAGUAACAAAUGUGUGAAUUAUGAUUAUGUUAAGGAACAGCUUGCUAACUUGACUACCGAACUUGAUGCAUUAAAAGCUAAAUAUAAAGAUGUUGAAUUCAACUUUAAGAAAUUUGAUGUGCCUAGUGAGGUAGUUGCGUCCAUGAUAGAGAAACAAUUAACAUUUAAAGAUAAUCAAACUUAGGGUUUAGGGUAUCAUAGUGUUCCUCCUCCUUUCAAUGACAACUAUAACUCACCCCUUGAGAUCAACGAGAAAGAAAUACCUAUUUAGUAUGGCCAAACCCCUGUACCAGCUUCAGUUAAGACUGAACAAUCUAGGCCAACUGAGAAUAUUAAGGAGAACGUUUUUGAUGAUUCUACUUCUUGUGUAGGUAAAGUAGUGGAAGAUAAGAACAAGGAGAACACUAUUGAACAAACAAAUGACUCCUUGAACUUUAAAUUUGUUGCUUCUAAUCAACCUGUUUUUGUUAAGUACAUGCCACCAAUUCAAGCUAAACAGAGUGACUGUUGCAAGUGUGCUUGUGGGAACAACCAGAGACAAGGCAAGGGCAUGCUACCAGGGGCAAUCAGAAACAAUUCCUACAUGAAGAAAAAUUUGUGUUUUCACUGUGGAACACCUGGACACAUUUUAAAAAUGUUUUUGUUUUAUCUAAUAAAUGAGUGGCUAGGAUUGCGUCUCACGGUCUCACAAAAUUAGGUCGUCUGACAUGAACCUAACCCUAUAUACAUAUAUAUAUAUAUAUAUAUAUANUAUAUAUAUAUAUAUAUAUAUAUAUAUAUGGAAAGUAUAACAUAUGUAUGAGUUUUAAUUAAUUAUCUUUUUUAAACGGUACAAUUACAAAACAAAAAAACAUAUUUAAAAUAUUUAAUUAAAUAUUUUCAACAUCACCCUAUAUAACAUAUGAUCAAUAUACAAUAUACAACGAUUGUAUUACAAUAAUCCAAAAACGAAGAAAAUAUAAAAACAAAUUAGUAUAACAAACUUAGAAAUUAAAAGCUCUAAUAUAAUAGCAUAUCUCCAAAAGUGGUCAUAAGACCUCAACCCAACACAAAAACCUUUUAAUUUGUUUUCUUUCUGAAAUUUGUAUAUGAUUUAUAUGCAUGUCUUCCCAAAAGAUUGGUCUUUUAUAGUAAACUUUUUACUAAAUGCUAAUUAAACAUAAUAUAAGUUAUAAAACUUUUGGGUGUUAAAUCAUAAUUAAGAAAACUUUUGAGUUGCAUUAGUUAAAAAAUGGGGUUUCAAAUGAAUGUGGUUGGAGGAAGUUAAAAAUAGGGUUUCAAAUGCAUUACAUUCAAGAAAAAUGUUACAUUUAUAAGUAUGUAUGAUGAUAUAGAUAUAGAUAUAGAUAUCAAUAUUGAUAGAUAUAGAUGAUAAUUCUGAUAGGGAUCCUUUUAAAGGAUUUGCAAGCCUUUCUCCAUUUGAAAAAAAAAAGGCUAAGAGUUCUUUGGCAAGAUCGAACUUUUAAGACUUUCAAUUUUUAAUAGACUAUGAAUUUUUUAAGAUCAGAAUUGUUUUGAAGUCAAAGAGGUAGUGGGAAGGAAAUGGAGGUGAUCAUUUGAAAUAGAAAUAACAUAGAGAAAAUGUUUGCUAAAAAAUAAAGAAUUUUUGUAACACACUUCAGAACUUUUAUGAAGUUAGAGAGGCGUUGGCAAGGAAAUGGAAGCGAUCGUGUGAAAUAGAAAUAGAAAAGAGAAAAUGUUUGCAAAAAAUUUAAAAUAUUUCACCAGCAUAUUCUGCUUUUUAUUCUGAUAUAACUAUUUUUCUUAAAAACUAAGAAAUUUUUGAACAACUAAAAGACAAAAAUAAAAAAAAUUUAACUCUCUAAAAUUAAAAAAUUAAAAGUUUGCUCUUAAUUGAAAAUUUAAAAUGAUAUUAAAUCGGCAUAAGUUGGCUUUUAAUAUGUGCUUAGUUGGUAUUCUUAGGGGUGUUUGGAUUAGCUUUUUAGCUUAUUGGUUAUAGCUUAUUUGUGGUGGGAAUAAGCAAUAAGCAAUAAGCAUGGGGAGUGAUGCUUAUUAAAAUUAUCUUAUUUAGCUUAUUAAGUUGGAUUUUAUCCAAACACUCAAAUUAGCUUAUUGUGGGAAUAAGCAAUAAGCACCACUUUUUUCCUAUCCCAACACCCCCUUAAUGUCAUAUCUUACAUUAUUGUUUGCUCCCUUCUACAACAUUUUACAAAAAGAUUAUCAACUAUUUGUUUUCAAAUUUUUAGAUUCCAUUGAAAAUAGAGAAAAUGACACAUUGAUCCUAAUAAAUAUUGCACAUUUGUUUAUUGAGUCCUUGAGUUAUUUCUAUGAUGUAUGAGGUAACAAACUUGUUAGUAACUUGUCAAUUUAGUCAUUAGACCUCCUGUAACCGAUUAAUAUCUCCACAUAAUUAAAUUAAAUGCCACAUAAUAAUCUAGUUGAAAAACAUCAUUGACUUCUUUCUGGGAUUUCAUCUAACGGUUUAUUUGCAUAGUUCAUCCAUGAUAUGGAGUAGGGUGAGCAUUUGGAUCGGACCGGACCGGACCAGACCAUUUUUUUGGACCCCCGGGCCGGUUCUCGGUUCUAGGAAUCCAUCCCGGUCUGGUCCGGUUUUUUUCCCGGUCUGGUCCGGUUUUUACCGGGUUUAGAACUGGUUGGACCCGGUUUAAAAAAAAAUUGUAAUUUGUGAAUUUUUUUAAACAACCAUAACACAUUCGUUUUAAGUCGGAUUGACACACGGUUUUUUCUAAUGUUUAAUUUAAAGUUUGUAGAUUAAUUUAGACUAUAAUUUUAUUGAUUUUGGUAUUAUAUUCAAUGAGUUACAGUCUCUCAAAGUUGAGCUAUCAAAGCUGAAAAAUUUCAGCUUUUCAGCAACAUUUUUAAAACUUUGUAAUCUAUGAAAAUUUUUAAACAGCCAUAACUCAUUCGUUUUAAGUCGGAUAGACACGCUGUUUUUUUUCAAAAGUUUAAUUUACAGUUUGUAGAUGAAUUUAGACUAUAAUUUUUUUGAUUUUGGUAUUAUAUUCAAUGAGUUACAGUCUUUCAAAGUUGAGCUAUCAAAACUAAAAAAAUUCAGUUUUUCAGCAAGAUUUUUAAAAUUUUGUAAUCUGUGAAACUUUUUAAACAAUCAUAACUCAUUCGUUUUAAGUCGGAUUGACCGGCGGUUUUUUCCAACAUUUAGUUUACAAUUUGUAGAUGAAUUUAGACUAUAAUUUUGUUGAUUUUGGUAUUAUAUUCAGUGAGUUACAAUCCUUCAAAGUUAAGCUAUCAAAACUGAAAUAUUUCAACUUUUUAACUAUUAUUUUAGACUAUAAUUAUGAAUUUUAUGUAUCUUUGAAAGAUAAAUCAUAUGAAAGGGAUCAUGGUGAACUUGAUUUAUAUGUUAGUUGCUUUUAUUUGGAAAAUUAAUUUUGCAAGUUAUAAUAUUCUAACAUCAAGGUAGAUUAGUUAUGCAUGAAACGGAAAUGUAAUCAUUUUUACAAGUUAUAUCGUAUCAAACUCAAUAACAUAUUCGUUUUAACGAGUUCUAUCAAACCCAAAAACAUAUUCUAACGACUUGUACUCUAUGCAUGAAACGAAAACGUAAUCAUUUUUACAAGUUAUAUCGUAUCAAACCCAAUAACAUAUUCGUUUUAAUGAGUUCUAUCAAACCCAAAAACAUAUUUUAACGACUUGUACUCUAUGCAAUUAAAGUUGUACCGGUCCAAGCGGGUCCAAGAACCGGAAAACCCGGACCUGGACCCGGACACGGACACGACUCAUCGAUCCGGUCCACGGUCCACAAUAUUAUCCAUAACCGGUCCGAUCCAAGAGCCGGUCUGGUCCGGUUCGGUACAAAUGCUCACCCCUAAUAUGGAGUGACUUGAAUCAUCACUAAUUCAGCGUAGAAGUACACCAUGUGUUCCAUUUGUUCCUAUUCCAUUCCAAAUAUCAUAAUCAUAAUCAGAACUAAAGGGUUAAAUAUCUAAGAAUCAUAAUUAAACACUCAUGUUAAUCUUCGGUGGGGUUGUGGCGACUUUGAUGAACCGAAUGAGAAACACAUACGGCGUCGGAAUGAAUAAAUUCCAUUCUAAUCGACCUAGAAUCCGCUUUUCCAUCACUAAACAUGUUGAUGUCCGUAAGCUCUAUCAGAUAUUUGAACAAAAUCGUUGACUUCCGGAGCCUAUAUUUCUUCAAUUUUGAUACAAUAAGCAUUGCACUCACUCAGACACACUCUAAUUCUCUUCUAGCAACAGUUAAAACUUCAUACAUCAAAAACAUAUAUGUAUCCAUUGUGAGUUGGUGGAAUCUGUAUCCACUAUAAUUCUCUCAUUGUUGGUAUCUUGAGCAUCACUGUCGAAGAUAUUCGUUUGUUUUGGUUUGUAGUUAAGGCAACUAUAAUUCUCUCAUUGUUGAUAUCUUGAGCAUCAAUGUCGAAGAUAUUCGUUUUUUUGGUUUGUAGUUAAGGCAACAGACAGCUUUGCUCUGGCAGUUAGUGCUGAAGUGAGUGACAAUUGAGGGUCUUUGUUUUGAGAAGAUGAAAAAGAUCCUGAUUUCUUCUCUUCUUGGUUGUCCGGACUGAUUUCGAUUACAAUUGCAUUUUCUGGCACCGAUGGUGGUUUUGGUUUGGAUGUGGCCUUCUUCUUGGCUGAUUUGACUGACAUUGGUUUCUAUAAUUAAGAUUCAGGAAGAUGAAUUGUUAAUGAAAAAAGAUUUGAUGAAAAGUUUAUGUGAAUAAUCGAUUAAAAAAAUUGGAGAAAACUUUCACCUUUUUGUUUUCAGCUGCGUCUUGUUGGGAGAAUUGAGAGACGAGGAGGAGGAGGAGGAAGAUUUUGACUUUUCAAAGUCAUUGUUAAUAGAAAAUAGGUUAAUGUCUAUGUGGCAAAUGGGUAACCGGAUUACCUUUUUCAUUUUGUCCAAAGUGAUCAAAUUGACCCGAACAAAACGAAUUUAAUGGUCUAGAAAGCACGGAAAUACUUAAGGGGCUGAAUUGACAAAUAUACAAAACAUCAGAGGGCGAAAUUGUCAUUUUCCUUUCAAAAUAAUAUUGGAAAACUAAUACGACUGUUGUGCAUGUUUAUGUAAAGUAGUUGUUGAUAUUUUCUUGUACUUCUUAUCUAUUCAAGUUUAUCAAAGUUAUAAUCACAUAGAAGAUUUUAUUCGAACAUAUUUCGAAUAGUUUAUAAGAUAAUAUACAAAUUUUAAAUUUUAUAACUCGAAACGUAUAAAUCAGUACAAAUGAGUUAAAUAUUUAUUACUUUAUAUGAAGUUUAUGGUGCACCGCACAUAUGGAAAGUAGUUGGGUAUGGUUGGAGGUGAUACGAAAUCCAUCCACACCAAUCUUGCCAUGCAACAAAGACAUGACUUAAUGGACAAAUAAAAUAUCCCAAUUUUCAAACCUAAAUCAUCUGUGAUAUUGUCAGGCUGACCCACGGUGGCACCGUCAUCAAUGGUGGAGGAGCCGCCGUCUAUUAAUAAUACUUAAUUAAUAAGCCCUCUUCCACUCGUUCUUUUACUUAAAAGAAAACAAACUUUGUGUGAAUAAUCACAAGAAUAAAUAAAGAAAAUAUACAACAAAUAAAUAAUAUAUGAGUUUAAUUAUAUCAAGUUUUAAGAAUAUAACUAUGCUUUCAAAGACAAAAUGAGAUAUAGACAUUGAAUAGAAGUCGUUGACUAAACAUUGCAAUCGAACUUAAUCCCUAUAUGACAAAUGGCACUUCGCUUUUAUAACUAUUUUGGGAUUAAUUUAUAUUUGCUUUUAACAAGUUACUAUAAAAAAUGGUAUUUUAUCAUUACUCAUUUUUAGACAAAACCGUAAACAUGAGUGUGGUAUAUUAAAAAUUAUCACUUUAAUCCAAAACCAUUUAGAAUAAUAUCAAGGUCCAAAAUUUUAUUUUGUUGUAUUUUUAAUCUAAUUUAGUGGCUGGCUAAACAUUGCAAUCAAACUUAAUCCCAAUAUGACAAAUGGCACUAUAGUUGUUAUAAAUAUUUUUGUAUAAAUAAAAUGGUAUUUUACUAUUACACAUUUUUAAUUAAGAAAAAACUGCAAAUAUAGUAUUUGUUGAAAAUUAUCACUUUCAUCCUAAAAUAUUUUGAGUAAUAUUAAUGGUCCGAAACUUUUAUUUUGUUGUAUUUUUUAUCCAAUUUAUUUUUUAAUUUUUUACAUUGACGAUUUUGCCCUUAUUUUUUUCAACUUGUUUAUUUAAAUUUUUUUGAAUAAAAGAAAAAUAAUAAACAAAAAUGAAAUAUCUCUCUCUUUCUCUCUCUCAAAAAAUAAAAAAAACAAAACAAAAAAACUAAAAUACCCUCCUUCUUCCCCGUCUCUCNAUAUAUAUAUAUAUAACAUUUAAACUUAUCUCUAUAUAGGCUUAGGUUAUUUUGUUUUUACAAACUAUUAUAUGUCAGAAUGCAUAGAUCAGGACCAACGGAUUAAAUUAAUCAAUGGACAUGAUUUGAGGGUGUAUGAUAUUACAAUGGGAUAACAUGUACCAUAUAAUCACAUAAAUUUUAGCAAAAGAGUAUUUUGGACAACUAACUACAUUUAUAAAAGGAAAUUUUCGGAUUUUUAGGGAUAAUUAAUUCUCCUAAUUUUAAAAAUCUAAAAUUUUUUAAUUAAUUUAAUUUUAAUUCUAACGUAAUUUGUAUACAUAACCGAUUUUAUUCUGUCAGAAUAUUUUUUUUUUGUUAGAAUGGUGUUCUUUCAGAAUUUUAUUCUAUUAUAGUAUUAUUGAAAAAUAACAACAUUCUUGAAUCCGAGGUUGAAAAAUAACAACAUUCUAAUAUAUUCUUAUACAUCCGAACUUAAAUACAAAUUCAUACAUAUUCUUACAGAUUAAAAGUCUUAUACAUUUUAAUAUAAUUAUACAUAUUCUAAAGAAUAUCAACAAAAAUGAAUAAAAUUCUUAAAAAAUAACAAUAUUCUAAAAUUGUGAGUAUGAUCAAACUUUAUUCAUUCUUCAAGUUAUUCCUAUUAGAUCUUCAACGCAUUCUUCCAUCCAUUCUAUCACAAAAUACAACAAAAACUAAUAAUGAUUAAAAACAUAUUACUUGCAAUUAACUAUCACUUUAUAUAUUCUAGUAGAAUACAUACAAUAUGACAGAAUACAUAAAAAAAUAAUAAUAGGCAAUCCAAGAGAAAUAUCUAUUACAAAAACAAAUANACUAUAAUUUUGGGAUGGAAGGAGUAAUAAAAUAAAAUAAUAAUAAUAAUAAUAAUAAUAAUAAUAAUAAUAAUAAUAAUAAUAAUAAUAAUAAUAAUAAUAAUAAUAAUAAUAGGCAAUCCAAGAGAAACAUCUAUUACAAAAUAAUAAUAAUAAUAAUAAUAAUAAUAAUAAAAGAUUAACAGGUACACAAAGAUUCUAAAAGAAUCUUUAAAUAUAAAGUGUACUUACCAUUUAAUUCUGAUAGAAUAUAUAUGCAAUUACCAUUUAUAGCAUCAUACAAUUACCCAUUACUAUUGUGUAACCAAAAUAUAUUAUAAAAUUUUUAAAAAACAUUCUUAAAGAAUCAUUAAUCCUUAAGUGUGAUUAUCAUUUUAAAUUCUAACCGAAUGUAUUCUAACAUAAUACACUAUACAAAGCAUAAUGUAUUCUUACAAAAUCUACUAUAUUGUGUAUUUGAUUUUCCUAAAAAAUCAGUAUUAUUGUAGAAUACAUUGUAUAAUAGUUUCUAACAUAAUACAUUAUACAAAGUAUAAUGUGUUCUUACAGCACCAAUUGGGUUUUCUUAAUGUGUUCAACAAAUUAAAACAAAAAUAACAAAUAAUUGUGUUUAGUAUAAUUGAUAAAAUAAAAAAUUACCUUGCUCAGUGAAACGAAAUUGUUGAAUUGAGAGUAAAAUCAAAUCAAUCUAUAUUAAUGAAUAAUCGAUCCACCAAGCAUUACCUAUUAAAUGGGAAAAUGAAUGUCACCAGUUGAUUAUUUAGAUUCGUUGAAUUCCAUACAACAUCAUUAUUUGUAAUCUUGGUGUACACAAAAGAUGAAAUAUAAUAAACAUAAAUGUGCAAUGUACUGGCCUAAACAAAACAAUUUAUAAAUUCUAUGUUUCACAUACGUUGAGAUUUAAUAUAGACUAUAUAUUGGGCACCUGAAAAGUCCAUUCCCAUACGUGUCAAUCUGUCGCCGGUGAGCACUUUCCGGUUUCUCCACUGCCAGUCAAAAGUCAAAAUAGACAUAGGCCUCUUCCAUCUAUCUCUGUCGAUUUAGAGUGGGAUUGCUCUGAAGAAAGAUAGGGUCUCCCUUUUUUCUUAUUCAAUUGAUAGUUAGUUUUCCGGUAAUGCCCCAUCUAAGAGCCUAUUCGUCGUAAGCCCUUAUAGAGUCAUAACCUAAUCUAAUCCAUAAUCAGGCUUAAGACAUGCAACCAACCUCUUCUUAGAUUCAGAAAGGGGCAGCCAAAGCAGGGACUUAUAAACUAGCAUCAGAUUCUGGACAUAUUCCUGCUACUAUAAGAUCCUUUACUCGUAAAUAAACUAUGGCAGUUCCUUUAGCAGCUCCCUCCGGGCCCGCAAAGAUAAGAGAAGAGCAGAUUCUUCCCAUCUAUGAAUCCAAACCUCCCGAGCAGCUGUAAGAACGGGUUUCGUUCUAGUGUNAUAUUUAUAGCCUUUUUUUUAUAUAAACCUGUUUAUUCAUCUUUUCAAAAUUUGGAGUUCCUUAAUACAUUUGUUAAAAUGGGUCCUAAUAGAAUUUUUUAUGACAAAAUAAAAAAUUCUAUAUAUGAUUGGUCAUAUAAUCGGGGUUACAUAGAUGCCUUUUAUGGAAGAUUCUUAACUGCGGGGAUUAGAAAAUUGGCCAACUUUGCUCAUUUUUUUGAUAGACGAAUAAUUGAUGCAAUUCCAAAUGGAGUUGGUCUUAUGAGUUUCUUUGGAGCAGAGGUUAUUAAAUCGGUAGGGGGUGGGCGUAUUUCUUCUUAUCUGUUCUUUUAUUUUUCUUAUGUAGCAAUUUUUUUAUUAAUUUACAAUUUUUUCAAUGUUUGAACCUUGUUGACUAAUCUCGCUAACAUUGAACUUGGUAAAAUGACCCUACCUGCCAACGCGCGGAUAGAUAGGGCGGGCGAAGCCCGAAGGGGAUGGAUGUCUGAGCGGUUGAAAGAGUCCGUCUUGAAAACCGAAGUAUUGAUAGGAAUACCGGGGGUUCGAAUCCCUCUCCUCCGCGAGGUCAUAAGUUCUCUCUUGCGUUAUCUUUAGAUAAGAACGAAUCGGAUCAACUCGACUGAUAUGAUAGAUUGAAUGGUAGCUUGUUUUAUGAUUUAGUUAGGACUCUGUCUCCCUUUCGUGAUCUUCCGCCCUCCGGUUGGGGAAGGUCCGGAAAGCCCUCACUCCCCCUUUUUCAAAAAGAAGCCCCGCUCAACAAGGGGCCCUCUCUGAUAAGGAAGAAAACGAAAGAAUCUCAAUUUUACGAAAAAUCCGGUCCGAUGGUUGUUCU
rnacentral:lncRNA from 1 species